AUAAAAGUGAAAAUUGUUUUUAAAAUGUUUGCAUACGAACAUUCCAAUAAUAGUUUAGCUAAUCGUAUAUUCGUAUUGCAGCUAUGAAUUGUAAUAUCCAUUCCGACUAUUUGGUUAUGAUCAUAUUUGCGUCCACAAUCAAAUAUCAAAAAUUGAAGACACAAUCAAAGAAAAGGUUCAUGGUGUUCUAGAAAGUGAUUUACAAUGUUCAAUUUGUAAUGAAUUAAUGGUUAAGGCGUGUACAAUUAAUUGCAGCCAUACUUUUUGUGAAAUUUGUAUAAAUAAAAAAAGUAAUAUAAA